rnacentral:tRNA from 1 species
UCGACGGAUUUUCCUCUUACUAUAAAUUUCAUUGUUGCCGAUAUUGACAU